rnacentral:rRNA from 1 species
GAUGAACGCUGGCGGCGUGCUUAACACAUGCAAGUCGAACGGAGAACCCUUGAUAGAGGCUUCGGCCAAUUGAUAGGAAUUCUUAGUGGCGGACGGGUGAGUAACGCGUGAGGAACCUGCCUUGGAGUGGGGAAUAACAGUUAGAAAUAGCUGCUAAUACCGCAUGAUGCAUUUGGAUCGCAUGGUCUGGAUGCCAAAGAUUUAUCGCUCUGAGAUGGCCUCGCGUCUGAUUAGAUAGUUGGCGGGGUAACGGCCCACCAAGUCGACGAUCAGUAGCCGGACUGAGAGGUUGGCCGGCCACAUUGGGACUGAGACACGGCCCAG